CAGUAGUCACGAGUUUGAUCAUGGCUCAGAUUGAACGCUGGCGGCAUGCCUUACACAUGCAAGUCGAACGAAGUCUUGGACUUAGUGGCGCACGGGUGCGUAACGCGUGGGAAUCUGCCUUUGGUUCGGAAUAACAGUGAGAAAUUACUGCUAAUACCGGAUGAUGUCUUCGGACCAAAGAUUUAUCGCCCAAAGAUGAGCCCGCGUAAGAUUAGCUAGUUGGUGAGGUAAAGGCUCACCAAGGCGACGAUCUUUAGCUGGUCUGAGAGGAUGAUCAGCCACACUGGGACUGAGACACGGCCCAGACUCCUACGGGAGGCAGCAGUGGGGAAUAUUGGACAAUGGGCGAAAGCCUGAUCCAGCAAUGCCGCGUGAGUGAUGAAGGCCUUAGGGUUGUAAAGCUCUUUUACCAGGGAUGAUAAUGACAGUACCUGGAGAAUAAGCUCCGGCUAACUCCGUG
rnacentral:rRNA from 1 species